UACAGAGGGGGCAAGCGUUAUUCGGAAUUAUUGGGCGUAAAGGGCGCGUAGGCGGCCUGGCAAGUGGAAGGUGAAAUCCCUCGGCUUAACCGAGGAACUGCCCUCCAAACUGCUUGGCUUGAGUCCGGGAGAGGUGAGUGGAAUUCCCAGUGUAGCGGUGAGAUGCGUAGAUAUUGGGAGGAACACCAGUGGCGAAGGCGGCUCACUGGACCGGAACUGACGCUGAGGCGCGAAAGCGUGGGGAGCAAACAGG
rnacentral:rRNA from 1 species